AUUGAACGCUGGCGGCGGGCCUAACACAUGCAAGUCGAGCGAGCGGCGGACGGGUGAGUAAUGUCUGGGAAACUGCCUGAUAGAGGGGGAUAACUACUGGAAACGGUAGCUAAUACCGCAUACCAUCCGAUGUCCCCAGAUGGGAUUAGCUAGUAGGUGAGGUAAUGGCUCACCUAGGCGACGAUCCCUAGCUGGUCUGAGAGGAUGACCAGCCACACGGGAACUGAGACACGGCCCAGACUCCUACGGGAGGCAGCAGUGGGGAAUAUUGCACAAUGGGCGCAAGCCUGAUGCAGCCAUGCCGCGUGUGUGAAGAAGGCCUUAGGGUUGUAAAGUACUUUCAGUGGGGAGGCGUUACCCGCAGAAGAAGCACCGGCUAACUCCGUGCCAGCAGCCGCGGUAAUUC
rnacentral:rRNA from 1 species